rnacentral:lncRNA from 1 species
ACUAUAACCAUUAACUCAUAAUAUAAACUCAUUCGAACAGCUUUUCUUUCCCUUUGUUCGUGCCUGAGCCUUCAGAUUGCUCAUACAUAACUGAAAACAUUUAAUUUAAGCAAGGAUGAGCAUUUGAGUGCCCAACAAGUAAUAGCAAUUAUAUAUAUAAGCUGAAAGAAUAUAAGUAUUCUCUUUACAUAACACUUCUACAACGAAUCGAAAGUUGUGAAGUAAUCUGUACUGAUUAAAAAUUCACAUAACAACUCUCUUCCAAAUUAUUUAAAUUUGGCUCUGGCUCUACCCAUGAAUAGGGUUUAAGAAACAUACUAUGAACAUUGUUUUUC